rnacentral:rRNA from 1 species
AUUUCUAGAGAUAGAAGUUACUUCGGUACAUCGGUGACAGGUGGUGCAUUGGUUGUCGUCAGCUCGUGUCGUGAGAUGUUGGGUUAAGUCCCGCAACGAGCGCAACCCCUAUUGUUAGUUGCCAUCAUUCAGUUGGGCACUCUAGCGAGACUGCCGGUAAUAACCGGAGGAAGUGGGAUGACGUCAAAUCAUCAUGCCCCUUAUGACCUGGGCUACACACGUGCUACAAUGGUUGGUACAACGAGUUGCGAGUCGGUGACGGCGAGCUAAUCUCUUAAAGCCAAUCUCAGUUCGGAUUGUAGGCUGCAACUCGCCUACAUGAAGUCGGAAUCGCUAGUAAUCGCGGAUCAGCACGCCGCGGUGAAUACGUUCCCGGGCCUU